UAUUUACUCUUCUAGCGAUAGUGACUCAGACGAUGAGCAAGUUAUUAAUUUUGUUGUCCGCUUGGGACGAAUUCGCAAAGUUCCUAGAAUACAGAUACGAAAGGACCAUUUUAAUUACUGGGACGACCAAGAAUUUUAUUGUAGGUUCAGACUGUCAAAAGAAUCUGUAACAAAUUUGAUACAUUCAAUUCAUGAUGUCAUAAAGCAUCCGACAAAUUGGAAUCACGCUCUUACAUCAAUGGAAAUGUUGUUAAUUACACUCCGAUUUUUCGCGACAGGCAGUUUCUUAAUUGUAAUUGGAGAUUUUGGAGGUGUUCACAAGAGUACUGUGGGAAAAGCAAUAAACAGAGUUACAAGAGCUAUUGCAAAUUUGCGGGAAGAAUACAUAAAAUUUCCUCAAACAGGAGAAGAAAUCUCUAUAGUGCAACAAGGUUUUUAUCAACUUGCAAGAUUCCCACGAGUUGUUGGUGCUUUAGAUUGCACACAUAUCAAAAUAAAGUCACCGGGUGGAGAAAAUGCUGAAAUUUAUCGCAAUCGGAAAAAUUUUUUCUCCCUGAAUGUGCAAACAAUUG